ensembl:snRNA U6 U6 spliceosomal RNA
UAAUUGUUGAAAAGAAAUUGAUGUUUUAGCACUACAAAAGACACAGCUCAGCAUGGCCCCUGCGCAAGGAUGACACGCAAAUUCGUGAAGCGUUCCAUAUUUAA